GACGAACGCUGGCGGCGUGCUUAACACAUGCAAGUCGAACGGAAAGGCCCUGCUUUUGUGGGGUGCUCGAGUGGCGAACGGGUGAGUAACACGUGAGUAACCUGCCCUUGACUUUGGGAUAACUUCAGGAAACUGGGGCUAAUACCGGAUAGGAGAUCCUGCUGCAUGGUGGGGGUUGGAAAGUUUCGGCGGUUGGGGAUGGACUCGCGGCUUAUGAGCUUGUUGGUGGGGUAGUGGCUGACCAAGGCUUUGACGGGUAGCCGGCCUGAGAGGGUAAACGGCCACAUUGGGACUGAGAUACGGCGCAGACUGCUACGGGAGGCAGCAGGGGGGAGUAUUGCACAAUGGGCGGACGCCUGAGGCAGCAACGCCGGGUGCGGGAUGACGUCCUUCGGGGUGAGAACCGCUUUCGCCUGUGACGAAGCGUGAGUGACGGUAAUGGGUAAAGAAGCACCGGCUAACUACGUG
rnacentral:rRNA from 1 species